rnacentral:SRP_RNA from 1 species
UGUGGGUCCCCCCGCAACGUCAGUUUGUGAACCCCGUCAGGCCCGGAAGGGAGCAGCGGUAGCAAAGCCUGCGUGUGCCGGGGUGUGGCUUUCAGGG